GCAGUGAGCAGAGAUCCCACCACUGCACUCUAGCCUGGGAGACAGAGCAAGACACUGUCUCAAACAUAAUACUAGUAAUAAUAAUGGUAUGAUAGCACAUAUACGAAGUUUGCUACAUGUCAGACACUCUUUUUAGUGCUCUAUAUGUAUUAACCAAGUGAUUCUCAAACAUGGGUUGCAAUGCCCUCCUUGCCUCCCCUUAUCCUUGUUCCUGUCCUCAGGAACAGGGAAUAUUUGGAAAUUGGUGGGAGCUUUUUUUCUUUUUUCUUUUUGAGAUGGAGUUUCACUCUUGUUGCAGUGAGCUGAGUUUGUGCCACUGCACUCCAGUCUGGGGGACAGAGGGAGACUCUGUCCCAAUAAAUAAAUAAAUAGAGUUUGAAUUUAAUUUUAAAAUAAGGCAUUGUAGGAUUUUUAAGCAGCGGAGUAACAUGGUUCAGAAGGCUAUUGCUGAGGUCCAGAAAAGAGAUGAUAGUGGCUUCAACUGGGUGAUGGCGGUGAAGAUGAUGAGUAAUGGGUAGAUUUCAGAUAUUUUUCGGCUUGACGUUGUGGCUCACGCUUGUAAUCCCAGCAUUUUGGGAGGUCUAGCCAGGCAGGUCCCUUGAGCCCAAGAGUUUGAGACCAGCCUGGGCGACAUGGCGAAACUCUGUCUCUACAAAAUAUAUAAAAAUUAUUCAGUCCUGGUGGUGUGUGCCUGUAGCUACUCGGGAGACUGAAGUGGGAGGGUCACCUGAGACCAGGAGGCUGAGGUUGCAGCCAGGAGGUUGAGUUGUGAUUUUGCCACUGCACUCCAGUCUGGGCAACCGAGUGCGACCCUGUAUCAAAAAUAAUUUUUAAAUAGGCCAGGCGUGGUGGCUACACCUGUUUUCCCAGCACUUUGGGAGGCCGAGGCGGGUGGAUCACCUGAGGUCAGGAGUUUGUGACCUGGCCAACAUGGUGAAACCCAGUCUCUACCCAAUCUCUACUAAAAAUACAAAAAAUUAGCCAGAUGUGGUGGCGGGUGCCUGUAAUCCCAGCUACUCGGGAGGCUGAGGCAGGAGAAUCACUUGAACCCUGCAGGCAGAGGUUGCAGUGAGCUGAAAUUGCACCACUGCACUCCAGCUUGGGUGACACAGUAAAACUCU